UAGGCGGCGGUAUACUGUAGUGUGCAGUUCGUGUCCGCAUCAUCAUACGCGCCAGUAUCGCUGGAAGACUGCAGGAACAGAAACCCCUGGAAAGGGUCCGAUGUCACGAUAUGGCGCUUUUCCAAUGUAGGGUACAACUUGGCUCGGUACGAUGCAGCUCAGCUCGCUUUCGUUGCUUUUCCAGUACAGUUUAGUAUCGCUUCAGAGUGGGUGAGAUUAUAGGCAGGGGUGCACAUAAGUGGUGCGUAUGUGCAAAUAGAAACAAUUUUAGCGUACCAGCGUUGCUGGAAUUUUGUUACAUAGUUAGCUAAUUUACUUCGACAUAAGGGAUUUCUUCGUGCAUCAGUGGUAAGAUAUUUUAUGUGUGUUGUUAGCAGUGAUCCGCAUCUCAAUGCUUCAGACAGCUUGCUAGUACAAGUAUACAUUUAUAUGAGUUAGGCUAGUAUUUAUUUAUAAAGAUUACAUAAGUAAAAACUAUAACUUAAAGGCUUAUUUUAUGUACAUCAUUGUCUACCAUGUUUAAACAAAAUAGAUAUGGCAAAGAGAGUAGUCAGGAGAAAAGUGAUGAUGUCAGCAUGUAGGAUGUCUGUGCUAUGAAUAGUGUGAGUACCAAGUAACAUCUCCAGGUGCUACUUUGAGAACCAGGACAAAAAAAGUUAUGUGCACCCCUGAUUAUAGGCUUAUUGUUACAGUUGCGUCCCCUCUACUGCCGUAACAUCAUCGUAAAUGCGAUACAAACACACACACACACACACACACACACAACAUGGAGCAACAGAGCAUAUUAAUGGAAUGCAGCCACAAAAUCAAAAUUGACACCCACAAGUAGAUUUUCCACUACCUCUCUCACAUGACAGGUUCUGUACAAACACCCGUGUCAUCGGUAUGUGCACUCCGCUGACAGAACAUUUAUGCCUAUACUUUUGGUGCGUUUUAAAUGCGGAGCCAUGCGCAAAGUUACAAAAUGCCAUGCAGACAUGGGUGCAGUGGUGUGCUCUGCAUUUUUGUAAAUUUGCACAUGGCUUCGCAUCCGAAACCCAUUACCCCUCUCCCAAAAGUCAGCUGUGCUGAACUGGGUCAUACUAUGCAAUGGAAAAGCAUCAAAAGUGUCCUACUUCCUGGCUUGAAGGAUUUAGCAGUUUCAGCGUUGGACUUGUGUUCCGCGUGUUUGGCCUCUUUAGCACUUGCUGUUUGAAAGUCAUUCCUUGCAACAGAUUGAGUGACUGUCAUUCUGCAUUUCUGUUUGCAUUGCUUUGCUUGCAUUUGAAUCCUUUGCAAUAAUAAAAGUUUUACAUUUGA